rnacentral:misc_RNA from 1 species
UGUGUGUGUGUGUGUGUGUAAUUUACCUUGUACUUGCCAUUUUCCUUGCUUUUUAGCAUUUGUCUCACUUUCCCUAGCAAGUAAGUUUGUUAUUUGUAGAACAUGCAAAGAAGUCACAACUUUGAUUUGUUUGAUUCUCCAUGAUCAUCUUUUGAGUGACCUCCACUUGUUCAAGAAGGUUACCUCUUCACGCACGUGUGACAGUAUUAGGUGUGGAGAGUAGGGUGCAUGGCAUCUCAUGAGGCAUUUAUGAGUUACAGCUAUAUGCAUUGAAGUGUUCCUACUUUCAUAGUCCAAUAUGGUUGCUGGUUUCUGAUAUACUAAUUGAGUGAAUCCAUGGAUAUUGUACAUUUAUUAUACAUAUGUGCACAAUAUGUAUAGAGUUGUUUGCUUUCCAACAUAUGUUUGCAGUCCUUGGAAAUCAUUUUUAUAUGCCUAUGUUUGAGAGACUAUUAAAACUUGACAAGAAAAAUUACUUAUAAAAACGAAAAGGAGGGAAUAGAUAGUGUUAUGAGUCAGCAACCGACAGAUGGCUUUAUUGGGUUUUUAUUUUGUUCAUUUGCUUAUCUUGCAGGGAGGAGGCUAGAGAGUUAA